rnacentral:tRNA from 1 species
UCGCUGGUGGUCCAGUGGUUAAGACACUGUACUCCCAGUACAGGGGAUUCAGGUUUGAUUCCUGGUCAGGGAA